UACAAAGAAUAAUGCUGCACACGACACCUUAUCUGGGAGGAAGUAUUUGACGUUGCACACGAUUUUAAAUCACCUAUAAAAACCCAAUACUUUGGAAGUAUUCCGGUAUCAGUCGGACAGAAGCUGCAGUGGGCAAGCAUUUUGUUUACAAGAUAAGAAUUGUUUUGGUUUGUUGGUGAUUCUCGGAGCGUAGUAGUAGAUUUCAAAAUGCCUUGCAAAUGUUGUGGAAAUGAUUGCCGUUGCACUGCCGAGUGUGGACCAAACAAGCCUUGUGGAGCUGAGUGCAACUGCAGCUGCAAGCAAGAGUCGGGCAAGUGCUGCUGCCAAACUGGAACUUGCAAGAAGUGAGAUGCAGAAGGUUUUCAACAAAUUUGGUCGGUCAUAUUUGAGUUUUAAGUUAAAUUUUAAUAAUUUGCCCAAAAAAAUUUUAAAUGAAAAAAUAAUAAUAAAAUAAAUUGACAAACAA